UCGAAGAAGCUUGCACAAACCUCUUACCCAACAUCCUGUGUAAAUUUCUAUAUGAUUUAUCCGAGAAGUUUACUAGUUUUUACUCCGUAUGCCAGGUUAUUGGGUCUGCCGAAGAGACAAGCAGACUAUUGUUGUGUCAGGCAACUGCUGUGGUGAUGGAGAAAUGCUUCGAUCUUUUAGGCAUUACCCCUGUCGACGAGAUUUGAUUUUUAAUUUUACAGUUUGUACUCUGAGGAAUUUUGAACUAGCUCAAUGUACCCUUGAAGACUGUAAAAUUCUUGUGGGUCCUUGUUACUGAUUUUUUUUUUGGAGUUUUUAGGUAUCUUUUUGUAA